UACGGGGGGAGCAAGCGUUGUUCGGAUUUACUGGGCGUAAAGGGCGCGUAGGCGGCCAGCACAAGUCAGUUGUGAAAUCUCCGAGCUUAACUCGGAAAGGUCAACUGAUACUGUGCGGCUAGAGUGCAGAAGGGGCAACUGGAAUUCUUGGUGUAGCGGUGAAAUGCGUAGAUAUCAAGAGGAACACCUGCGGCGAAGGCGGGUUGCUGGGCUGACACUGACGCUGAGGCGCGAAAGCUAGGGGAGCGAGCGGG
rnacentral:rRNA from 1 species